GUGUGAUGUGUGAUCCACUGCCCUGUGUAGAGAGGUGAUUCUCACCCUGUGGUGUGAUGUGUGAUCCCCUGCCCUGUGUAGAGAGGUGAUUCUCACCCUGUGGUGUGAUGUGUGAUCCCCUGCCCUGUGUAGAGAGGUGAUUCUCACCCUGUGGUGUGAUGUGUGAUCCCCUGCCCUGUGUAGAGAGGUGAUUCUCACCCUGUGGUGUGAUGUGUGAUCCCCUGCCCUGUGUAGAGAGGUGAUUCUCACCCUGUGGUGUGAUGUGUGAUCCACUGCCCUGUGUAGAGAGGUGAUUCUCACCCUGUGGUGUGAUGUGUGAUCCCCUGCCCUGUGUAGAGAGGUGAUUCUCACCCUGUGGUGUGAUGUGUGAUCCCCUGCCCUGUGUAGAGAGGUGAUUCUCACCCUGUGGUGUGAUGUGUGAUCCACUGCCCUGUGUAGAGAGGUGAUUCUCACCCUGUGGUGUGAUGUGUGAUCCCCUGCCCUGUGUAGAGAGGUGAUUCUCACCCUGUGGUGUGAUGUGUGAUCCCCUGCCCUGUGUAGAGAGGUGAUUCUCACCCUGUGGUGUGAUGUGUGAUCCACUGCCCUGUGUAGAGAGGUGAUUCUCACCCUGUGGUGUGAUGUGUGAUCCCCUGCCCUGUGUAGAGAGGUGAUUCUCACCCUGUGGUGUGAUGUGUGAUCCCCUGCCCUGUGUAGAGAGGUGAUUCUCCAGCUCCUCUAUCUGCUGUCUGUACUGCUGCAGCUGGACCUCAAACUGAUCCACUAAACACCGGAAAUAACUAGAGAGAAAGA